CCGCCCCCCACGCCGGGUCCGCGUGCCCCGCGGGGCGGUGGUUCGCAGUCCACAAUUCCGGCCGCCGGCGCGGCGUCGGUUCUGCGGCGUUGCUGGCUUUUCUGAGGGCUCGCUCGGGCCUGAGGGACCCGCGCCGAGCUCGAGGCGCCGCACACGGACCUCGACGGGACCCUCGGCUCGCGGCCGCUCCGCGAGGUGUUUACUAGAGUAAGCAGCGACCUGCAGCUGUCUGGAGCCUGAGUGGCAGACUCAUCCAAUUUAUUGGGCACAAGGGUGGGUUACACCCCAAAAGCUGCUGCUGCAGGAUGCCCAGGCAACACGUGGACCUCCUCCACACCUGAGAGCCGAAGGGACCUCAGAGCCUCUGCAGCGGAGGGGGCGUCAGGAGAGGCCUGAACCAAGCCCGGGGGUACCGGCGGCAGAUAGGGUGGCCAAGGACAGCAUCCUCCUGGGGGGCCUUGCAGCUCUGCCCUGCCUGAGGUGAGGUCUUAGGAGGCUGGAGGAUCAGAAGAGAACUGGGUGCCUGAGGACGCCGGGAGGAGGGGCGGGAAUGGGUGUAGAGAACACUGGGAUUGAGGCACGAGAGGGAGUUUCUAAGCAUGGGAUGAUCCCGGUUUUAUUUUCAUU
rnacentral:lncRNA from 1 species